rnacentral:rRNA from 1 species
UACGGAGGAUGCGAGCGUUAUCCGGAUUUAUUGGGUUUAAAGGGUGCGUAGGCUGGUAAUUAAGUCAGCGGUGAAAUUUUGCAGCUUAACUGUAACAGUGCCGUUGAUACUGGGGAGCUAGGAUUUGGUUGCUGUGGGUGGAAUGUGUGGUGUAGCGGUGAAAUGCUUAGAGAUCACACAGAAUAUCGAUUGCGAAGGCAGCUCACAAAGCCAAGAUUGACGCUGAGGCACGAAAGUGUGGGGAUCAAACAGGA